GUGCAGGCUAGCGAACUCAGAAACGCGAUACUGUAAUAUUCUAAUAGCCUGCACUCACUUUGAGUUUUUCAGACCUGUUGGAUAUUGUAAUUGUAGACUUUCCUCCAUUCGCUGGUGUGAAUGAAGCGGCCUUGAAAUACUGAGGGUGCCCACUAGUCGCCGGUGGUGCUCCGUAGCGAUACGCACAGAGCCGGCGCUAGCGGGUAUGCAACGUAUGCAAUUGCACGGGGGCCCGAGCUUGACCAGGGGCCCACAGGGCCCGUUGAAAUGGUGGGUGAAAUGUAUUGAAUAGCCUUUGCGCCAAAUACUCGCAACAUCUCAGCUCUGAAAAGUAACCACACAUUUUGUCAAAUCAGAGAACAAUAUGUUGAUAAUGAGGCCGUGCCCGGUAACCGCAGGGGGUCUCUGUCCAAUAGCAGCUUUCAUUAUUGUCUUGUCAUUAAUUGAAUGAUUUGAUCGCGGCUGCGCGCAUUACUUACCAUAGAUUACAGUAACGUUAGCUAAUUUAGUUUACACGUUUCUUGACAGUUAUUUCUCAAAAAUGCAGAAGUCAAAAUCGGGCUUUCAAAAGCGAAAAGACAAUGCAGAAGACUUGAAAAUACAGAAAAAUAGGCUAGAAAUGACAAAAAGGUUUAUUCAACGUGGUUCACAGGCGCAGCACCAGCGGCGAAUUUGCCGCCCACGGUUUCUAUUGGUGACGAUGCUAGUAAUGCUAUCGGCAGAUGUAACGUUACCCCAUGCUGAGGCUUCCCUGGAGCCUGAACCAUCCACGGUAAAUGCACCUCAACCGGAGGCGACACCGUCCACGUCACUGGCGUCAGAUGCAACUCAAACGGAGGCUAACGUUAUCCCAGAACAAACACGCACGGCAACUGUGUACCGCUUAGAUAGUUAGUUCGCGGAUCCUGUCUGUGUACUCUGCAGUCUGCUAAUGCUAUUUAAUUGGGAUUAUUUGUGUGGUUAUGAAGCAAUGCUGUAGCUAGUUUGUUUACCUUCUCACUUUUGUAUCUGGCGAUUAUCUUAACAGUCUAUUUGGUUGGGUGUGUGUGUGUGGGUCUGUGGCAUUUGUAAUUGUUUGUUGAUCCAUCUGUUUUUAUCUGAAAAUAAGAGAUGCUUAAUGCCCACAUAACUUGAGAAGACAUUGUAUUAUAAUGUGCUAUAUAAAUACAGUAUAUUAUUAUUAUUGUUAUUAUUGUUAUUAUUAUAACGCGAUGUGUGAUGACGUAAUUAAAAUAGCGUUCCUCCACUAAAAAAAUCCCCACUACACCACUAAAAGUAACCUGAUUAUUGCGUGACUGUUUUCAAAAGCAUUCUGGUACAUAGGCUAACGUCAAAGUGGAGGUACUGCAGCUCUAUGUAAAGGUAACAUAUACUUUCGUCAUGGUUAUCUCUCUUCGGUAAUUUCCCAAUAUUGUUCUCUGUGGAGGGCCCAUUUCACCCGCUUUGCAUACGGGCCCAAAGGACACUAGUGCCGGCACUGGAUACGCAGCAGUCAUCUAGGCGCAGAGUUGGCGCAGUCCAGAGAUAUCACACAGUGGGGGGUUCACACCAGGAGCGUGGUUAACAGCGAAUGAACAUUCCUUACUAUGCCUCCACUAUGUGCAAGGAGGUUGUUAAUCCCCCCCCAAUUUUAAGGUUUUGCUACUGACUUUUAAAGCUCUGCAUGGACGUGCACCUGUGUACAUAACUAACCUGCUCCUACUUUGUAAGCCCACAAGGUCACUCCGAUCCCAAGACGCAGGCUACUUGGUAGUCCCAAGAAUUCCCAAAAACCUUAAAGGUGGUAGGGCUUUCUCCUACAGAGCCCCACUACUGUGGAACCAGCUUCCAAAAUGUAUAAAGGAGUCAGACUCGGUCUCAAUAUUUUAGUCUAGAUUAAAAUGCACCUUUAUGCUCAGGCUUAUAAUCAGUUAUAGUCUGGAGACAGGGUGGGAGAAGCCUGUAGUCAUAGAGCCUUGUGGGGUGGCAAUCCUUUCCUUACUGUCACCUGUCAAUCAGCUGUGACCCAACUUUGCAUGGGCUGGCUCUUGAUAGGUGGGUAUGAUUGUCCACCCCUCAUGACUGCAUGGGCUCUCCAUCCCUGUCCUAGUAUCUAUGCAGCCAUAUCUUACUCCUGGCGGGGCCCCCCCAAUGCAUACUACUGCCACUUUACUCACUGUCUGCUAUAUUGCAAAUUCCCUAAUUGCCAUUUCUACCUUCUUCCCCACGCUGCCGGCGGGGCUCUUGCCCCAAUCUUCGAGAGUGCUUUGAGGGUUGUCUGGUCUCCCCCACCACUGCGGUCCAGCCCUUCUUUCGUCAUUGCCUCCACCCUGCCCACAUCUGUCGCCAUCUGCUGCUCCCCAUCACCGCCACCCGGCCCCACCCAUCAUCUGAGCCUCAUUAUAAACCCUAUAAAACUGACUGACAUGUUGGUCACCAGUCGGCACCCUGAGCCAACCAGAGGAGGAUGGGUUUCCCCCCUUGAGCCUGGUUCCUUCCGAGGUUUCUUCCCAUCUGCCACAGGGAGUUUUUCUUUGCCACUGUUGCCUUAGGCUUGCUCCUGUGUGGGUUUAGGCCAGGGUUGUCAGUAAAGCGUAUUGUGACAACUGCUGUAAAAUACGCUAUACAAAUAAAAUUUGAUUGAUUGAU